CGCCUCCUGCAACUACAUUGAGUAUAGGAGGUCCAGCCUGCCCAGUGACUACGGGUUCAACGGCCGCGGUAUUUUGACCGUGCAAAGGUAGCGCAAUCACUUGUCUCUUAAAUAGAGACCUGUAUGAAUGGCUAGACGAGGGCUUAACUGUCUCCCCCCUCCAGUCAGUGAAAUUGAUCUAUCCGUGCAGAAGCGGGUUUAACUAUACAAGACGAGAAGACCCUUUGGAGCUUAAGGUACAAAGUUCAACCACGUUAAACGACUCCACAAAAAGCAAGAACUUAGUGGCGAGUGAAAUUUUACCUUCGGUUGGGGCGACCACGGAGGAGAAAAAAGCCUCCGAGUGGACUGGGCCAAAUCCCAAAGCCAAUAGAUACAUCUAUAAGCCACAGAACAUCUGACCAAUAAUGAUCCGGCUGAAAAGCCGAUCAACGAACCAAGUUACCCUAGGGAUAACAGCGCAAUCCUCUCCCAGAGUCCAUAUCGACGAGGGGGUUUACGACCUCGAUGUUGGAUCAGGACAUCCUAAUGGUGCAGCCGCUAUUAAGGGUUCGUUUGUUCAACGAUUAAAGUCCU
rnacentral:rRNA from 1 species